rnacentral:ncRNA from 2 species
UGAAAUUGACAGAGGUAUUUGCUUAUAUAACAAGCAGAUUGAGAAAAACUCUUAGAGCUGAUCAGGUUAAUACCUGCGGAGCAAGUUCAAUUAAUUUGAAUU